CCCUUAGAUGUUCUGGGCCGCACGCGCGCUACACUGACGGAGGCAGCGAGCAUGUCCUUCGCCGAGAGGUGUGGGGAAUCUUGUGAGUCUCCGUCGUGCUGGGGAUAGAUGGUUGCAAUUGUCGAUCUUGAACGAGGAAUUCCUAGUAAACGCGAGUCAUCAGCUCGCAUUGAUUACGUCCCUGCCCUUUGUACACACCGCCCGUCGCACCUACCGAUUGAAUGUUUCGGUGAAGAUUCCGGAUAGGACUUUUUUGAUUUAUUUCAAUUCUGUCUUAAAAGCUAUCUAAACCUCAACAUUUAGAGGAAGGUGAAGUCGUAACA
rnacentral:rRNA from 1 species